GACAUUUCUCUUAUCAUCAUUACUAUUGUUUCCAGGCCAUAAAAUGUAACUGGUGUGUGAGCAUGCAAGUAUUUGCAGACUAACAAAGCGCUGCGCACUGCUAGAACGCAUCAGUCACGCAGGUAGGUGGCAUACCCACAACAUCUCCAGGCUAAGGAUUGUGUCACAGCUUGUGUGGAGAACUGGGUUUGGGGCCAUUUUUUUAAAGUUGCUCAUCUGUUUGCACUUCCUUUUUUUUUUUUUUUUCUGCAGAUAAAAUCCCUAAUCUCUACAGCUGAGGAUCUUCCUCUUGAAUUGCUAUGUUGUUUGCAAAGCAUGAUCCACCCAUGGAUCUGCCAUCUUUACUCCAGGAACAAUCUCUUCCAGCUGCUGGCGGAGUUCCUGAGGGUGUGUUUGUGCAAAACACAAACAUAUUUGCACCUCUUGGUGCAAACAAGCCAGAGGAGCUGGAGAGGAUGUGCUCCUGAGGAGAUGUUAUGAAGUUUAAGCUCUAGCCUCUGUCCAGGGGAAGGGUCCGUUGCUCCCCUGGCUGUGUGGAUGGCUCCCUUAGGAGGUAAAAUGCAUGCUGCUCGAUUCAGCCCGAAGUGUGCUGAUGCAGGCUGUCCUGAGCACCACGAGCGGGCUGUUUGGGACACCACAGCACAAGGGUGCCCAGGUACUGAUUGCUAUGCCAGCAAGGAGGGCCCUUGACACUAGCCAGUCUGUCCAAGCUCAUCAGCAAGACACUUCUGGAACAGCCCUUAUUAUAUACCACUGUGUUGCAGUACAAGUCCACUCCAAAACUCAGCAGCAGUGUUUGUGCCCUUGUGUGGUUCCAGGUAGGUCCCAUCACCCUGACCAAGGCUAUGGGGCAUACUCCAACUACACAAAAUUAAGAGUAUGUGUAAAAGUAACUACGCAGCCAUGGCUCCAGAAUUGCAAUCUGCUCAUCUAUUUUUACCCUGCCACAGGUGAAGUACCGCAGUACUUGCACCACAGGGCAAGAUUGAGUGUUGGAGGGUGGUUAUCCCAGGCACCUCCUUCCCCACCACCCACCCAUGGGUGCCUGCCCAGCAUACUCUGCUUGCUCACAGCUCUGGACAUGCCAUCCAGGGAGGCUCACACCUCAGGAGAGAGGUGAGAGCUGUAACAUGCAUGAUUUCACCGGCCUGGUGUUAAUUGUGAGAGUCCUAAAAAGCUCUAUUUACUGCUUGUCACUCAUUGUCAGUUCCUAGAAGGAAUAAUUCCAGGGAAGAAAACAGGUGUUUCUAAGCUAAGAGGGUACUUCUCAUAUCAAAUAAGACACUUGCCAUCUUUUGCGCCUUUACUAACACUGGUAUUUGAAGGAAUGACACCAGAGUUGCAAAGUACAGCAUAAAAAGGUUGUGAAAUGUCAGUGAUAAGGUUGCCCUUCCAGUGUAUUUGGCAGAACAAACCUUAAUGAUAGGUUUGGGUAUUACUGGUUUUUUUGUUUGUUUGUUUUCUCUCCCUAUGGGGCCAUGUCAACAGUGGACAGUAGUAUAUUCAGCAUUUUAUAAUGUGGAAGGCUAUUCUCAUAAGGCCUCCAUGUCUCUUGUUAUUGAAAUAGCAAGUUGCUAUUUGGGUGGGAGGCUUAGGAAGGGAAAUUAAGUUUUUAUGGUCUAGAGGAGCUGGCUGCUGCCAUGAAGAACUAGAUUCUCCCUGUUCUUCAGGAAUAGCCUAAAACACCUCUUUGCAAAGCACAGUGCAGUCCAUGUACAAUGAAGUGAGAUUUGAAUGAGCUUGUGCAGGUGCCAGGGGUGUUACGGUGAUCUAGAGAGGUCUUGACCGAGUCCUCCCAGCUAGCAGGCAGGUGUUCCCAGAGCUACCCCAAGUGUCUCCACAGCCCUGACUUACACUGCAUAGAUAUACACGUGGACAUCUAUGGGUGGUGUUAGAGCGUGUCUGUGUGGCUGUUGCCUGCACCGCAGCCUGCUCGGAGCUGGUUGAGUGAGCUGGCCUGCAGUCAUGCAUGCAAGCACAUUUUCCACAAGCCCACUGGUGUCUGCGAUAUCCUGCAGCAUGUCCCCUUCUCCCAUGCAGCUCCUUGGUGCCAUGCCCUCAUCCAAAGGGCUGAAUCUCUCUCAUUUCUGCCUUCUGACUGUGGGGUGGUUUUACUCGGG
rnacentral:lncRNA from 1 species